rnacentral:rRNA from 1 species
AUACGGAGGGUGCAAGCGUUGUUCGGAUUUACUAGGCGUAAAGCGCGUGUAGGCGACUGAGUAAGCCUCAGCUGAAAGUCCAGGGCUUAACCCUGGAAUGUGUUGGGGAACUACUCGGAUUGAGUUCGGAAGAGGAAAGCGGAAUUCCUGGUGUAGCGGUGACAUGCGUAGAUAUCAGGAAGAACACCGGUGGCGAAGGCGGCUUUCUGGUCCUGAACUGACGCUGAGAUGCGAAAGCGUGGGGAGCGAACAGGAUUAGAUACCCUGGUAGUCCACGCCGUAAACGAUGGAUAUUAGGUGCAGGAGGUAUCCAAUCCUUCUGUGCCGAAGCUAACGCAUUAAAUAUCCCGCCUGGGGAGUACGGUCGCAAGGCUGAA